rnacentral:rRNA from 1 species
AAUGGGCAGGUUUGAAGUCUUGUUAGACGGGAGAUAGAAUUUCCAGGUGGAGCGGUGAAAUAGGUAGAGAUCUGGAUGAAUAGCGGUGCCGAAGGCGACCCCCUGGACAAAGCCAGACGCUCAGGUGCGAAAGCGAUAGGAGCAGACCAGAUAGGAUACCCUGGCCGUGCUAGUUCGUAAAGUAAGUCGAUGUCGACGUGGAGGCCGUUCCGGAGAGGAUUGCCUUCCGGAGCUAAUGAGUUAAGUCCAUCGCGUGGGGAGUACGGCCGCAAGGUUAAAACUCAAAUGAAUUGACGGGGGCCCGCACAAGCGGUGGAGCAUGUGGUUUAAUUCGAUGCAACGCGAAGAACCUUACCUACUCUUGACAUCCAGAGAACUUAGCAGAGAUGCUUUGGUGCCUUCGGGAACUCUGAGACAGGUGCUGCAUGGCUGUCGUCAGCUCGUGUUGUGAAAUGUUGGGUUAAGUCCCGCAACGAGCGCAACCCUUAUCCUUUGUUGCCAGCGGUUAGGUCGGGAACUCAAAGGAGACUGCCAGUGAUAAACUGGAGGAAGGUGGGGAUGACGUCAAGUCAUCAUGGCCCUUACGAGUAGGGCUACACACGUGCUACAAUGGCAUAUACAAAGAGAAGCGACCUCGCGAGAGCAAGCGGACCUCAUAAAGUAUGUCGUAGUCCGGAUUGGAGUCUGCAACUCGACUCCAUGAAGUCGGAAUCGCUAGUAAUCGUGGAUCAGAAUGCCACGGUGAAUACGUUCCCGGGCCUUGUACACACCGCCCGUCACACCAUGGGAGUGGGUUGCUAAGAAGUAA